CUCUGCUAGCCAGCACCUCUCCUAAACAGGUGUUCUACUCCCCUAGCCAGCACCUCUCCUAAACAGGUGUUCUACUCUGCUAGCCAGCACCUCUCCUAAACAGGUGUUCUACUCCCCUAGCCAGCACCUCUCCUAAACAGGUGUUCUACUCUGCUAGCCAGCACCUCUCCUAAACAGGUGUUCUACUCUGCUAGCCAGCACCUCUCCUAAACAGGUGUUCUACUCCCCUAGCCAGCACCUCUCCUAAACAGGUGUUCUACUCUGCUAGCCAGCACCUCUCCUAAACAGGUGUUCUACUCCCCUAGCCAGCACCUCUCCUAAACAGGUGUUCUACUCUGCUAGCCAGCACCUCUCCUAAA